AGCAACAGCUUGCUUCUUUCUCUGCCUGUUCGGAUCCAGGAAGGCAAUGUACUGAGGACAGUUCUUCAUCCAGUACCUCCACUUCUUGCAAAAGAAGCAUUCAGUUUGACUCUUAUCGUGCUUGAUCUUUCUGGUCUGGCCUUGCACUGAUAUCCCAGUCUGAACUUGCACCUUCUUCACUUUCUUCUUCUUGUUCUUCUUUCCUUUCUCAAAGGGUCGAGAACCAGAAGACGAACCUCCCACUAAGUUCACCGACUCCUUGUGG
rnacentral:lncRNA from 1 species